GGUACCUGGAAAGGGUUCGACCGCACUGCAUGUAUUUUAUUAACAGCGUAUGUAACAUGGUCGACUUCUUUUCAGUAUC
rnacentral:pre_miRNA from 12 species